rnacentral:rRNA from 1 species
UACGUAGGUGGCGAGCGUUGUCCGGAUUUACUGGGUUUAAAGGGUGCGCAGGCGGAAUAUUAAGUCGGCGGUGAAAGUUUGCAGCUUAACUGUAAAAUUGCCGUUGAUACUGGUAUUCUUGAGUGUAUAUGAAGUAGGCGGAAUUUGUAGUGUAGCGGUGAAAUGCAUAGAUAUUACAAGGAACUCCGAUUGCGAAGGCAGCUUACUAAAUUACAACUGACGCUUAGGCACGAAGGCGUGGGUAUCAAACAGGAUUAGAUACCCCUGUAGUCCCUGA